UACGUAGGGACCGAGCGUUGUCCGGAUUCAUUGGGCGUAAAGAGCUCGUAGGGCGGCUGCUCAAGUCGAAUGUGAAAACUCGGGGCUCAACCCCGAGCCUGCUUUCGAUACGGGCGGACUAGAGGUAGGUAGGGGAGAACGGAAUUCCUGGUGUAGCGGUGGAAUGCGCAGAUAUCAGGAAGAACACCAAUGGCGAAAGCAGCUCUCUGGGACGGUACUGACGCUGAGACGCGAAAGCGUGGGGAGCGAACGGG
rnacentral:rRNA from 1 species